GGAAAGAUGGCUGAGCGGCCUAAGGCACGUCCCUGCUAAGGACGAGUACUCGCAAGGGUACCGAGGGUUCAAAUCCCUCUCUUUCCG
rnacentral:tRNA from 1 species